rnacentral:rRNA from 1 species
CUGCGUGAAGUUGGAAUCGCUAGUAAUCGCGGAUCAGCAUGCCGCGGUGAAUACGUUCCCGGGCCUUGUACACACCGCCCGUCACACCAUGAGAGUCGGGAACACCCGAAGUCCGUAGUCUAACCGCAAGGGGGACGCGGCCGAAGGUGGGUUCGAUAAUUGGGGUGAAGUCGUAACAAGGUAUC